rnacentral:tRNA from 1 species
GGAGCGGUGGCUGAGAGGCUGAAAGCACUCCUUUGCUAAAGGAACGUACUGGCAAAACCGGUACCGAGGGUUCGAAUCCCUCCCUGUCCGCCA